AUUCUAACAGAACCAGACAGAAAAUAUACAACAAUUUUUUUUGUUAUUUUCCAAUACAAAUAUUCAUUCGUUAUAAAUUUGCUCGACUGCCAUGUUUUACAAUCGCGAUUCAGUGAAAUCAAUCGCGUACUAUUAAAGAAAACUUUUAAUUUUUUUUGUUUAAAAGCAGUGAGCUACCUUUAAGUAUGACAUCCAAGCGGUAUCCUGCUAACACGGAAUUGAUGUCGUCUCUAUGAAUGGCGUUCAAAGCUGCAGUGUACAAGGACUGAUCUAUUAAUCCGGGAAAAGUUCAAAUUUAACCAAAGAACCAAUUUCUAUUGUAUCUCUAUGGUAAACAUUAAGGUUACUUAUUAUCUUAGUUUAACUGAGUGUUAUUGGCCAAUUA